rfam:Bacillus infantis NRRL B-14911, complete genome.
GGGGACGUUACGGAUUCGACAGGGAUAGUUCGAGCUUAGGUUGCGAGUCGAGGGGAUCGGCCUCGUUAAAACGUCAAAGCCUAUAACUGGCAAACAACAAAACAACUUCGCUCUAGCUGCCUAAUAGCGCUAAGCGGUUCCUCCCUCCAUCGUCCAUGUGGUAGGGUAAGGGACUCACUCUAAGUGGACUACGCCGGAUUCCACCGUCUGAGGAUGAAGGAAGAGAACAACCAGACUAGCUGCACGGACGCCUGUCAGCAGGCAUAAGAUGCAGCGAAACGCAAAUAUGCUGACUACACUCGUAGAAGCUUAAGUGGCGAUGUUUCUGGACGUGGGUUCGACUCCCACCGUCUCCACCA